AAUUGAUAUUAUGAAAGGCAUCUAUACCAAGUUUUCUUGUGAGGAAAUAGCUUUCUAUAUAGUUAUUAUUUUUAUGGUACAAAAAUAAUCAUCGCACCAUUCCUCAAAAU